AUUAUGUGAUUCAUAGGCUCUAAUCCAAAUGUUUUGCUGGUUAAAAUAAAUAGAUUUGAAUUAGGUAUCAUUUUUAGUUAAUGAAAAAAAUAGCAAUGGAAUUAUAUUUUCCUAUCUUUAAAAAAAUAUUUGAUUUCCACCAAACAAAAGAAAUUGUAAACAUUCUGCUCAUUUCUAUAAAAUCAGGAAAAAAUAUGAAAUAACAUUUCUAAAUGGAAUCAUGUCAAUUGCAGUGUCUGAAAUGUGAACACUCGUAUGCACAGGGAGUCCAAUUCUAUCUCUGCUGGGUGAGCACAGUAGCUACGGAACUCGUUGGAAGGCAUGUGAACACAGUCACACCCCUAGUAGAAUAUGGAACGUUGUUCUUUACCCACGGUAGCUAUUCUCUGCCAGUGUACUGUUUACAGUGUAGAUUGAUUGUCCUCCAUCAAAAAAGUGUAAACAGCAGUCUUCUUUUCCUUUUUUCCAUUUUUGAGUGUCCUAGAUAGAAUGAUUAUCAAAAUUAGGGAAAAAAAGGAAAGUUUGUGAGUGCAAGAACAAAGACAGAGAGCAUGAGCAGAGUAUUGAUGUGUGUGUGUGUGUAUGUGUGUAAUUGAGAGAGAGAGAGAAAAAAAGAGAGAGAGAUUUCAACUUGUUUUCUUUUACCAGAGAGUCCAAGAAGCAGUUUAAGGAACUUGAUUUUGGAGUUUAGUCUAGAAACUGGAUGAACUCGUAUUGAUUCAAGAUGCUUAAUAUUGCAUUGAAACUCCACAAUUAGAAUAACAAAUAGAAAAAGAAAAAUAACUCUCCUAAAUAUGGCAAAGAAGCUAACACCUCAUUUAUUUUUAUUUCUUUGUAAAAAUAUAAAUAUCUCAGUUAAAAGGACAGGCUCACUUGUAAUUAUGUACUCAUGAUUGUAACAGCAUUGAGAUUCCAUAUAGGCACAUGUACAGCAGCUGUCUAACGGUGACGGUUCUUCCAUGUAACAUAGCAGUUAUCGUGUAAUUUAGUGCCACUUAUUGCAAAGUGUUACCAAGGGGAACAUUUAAAAUCCUUUUCCUUUUCCUUUGGACAUCAGGAUAAUUUAAUGAAUGAUAAAUGUGAAAUUUUGUGUUAUGCUUUUUAAUUGUGGAGAAAAUGAAAACUUCAUAUCUUGCUGCAACUUCUCAUGUUGCUAAUUACUUAGAACCCUCUACAAACGCCCAAUAUUAUCCCCCUUUGCAAAUGGUAAUCUAUGAUGAAUAUACAAAACAAAACAAACAAACACAACUGCCAACCACAGCUGAAAUAAAUGAAACAUCUAACGAGAAUUACUGAGUAAUGCUUUUUAUUAAGUGGCACAAAGUACACACUAAAAACUAUGCAAAAUAUAGGUAACUACAGUGUACGUACAUGUAAGUAUCUUGUACUUGCUGUGUAUGGAUGUUGGAAACCCAUGUAAUUAUAAUAUGCAUUUUGAAUAUUGGGAAAGAGGAAAUCUUAGUGUAGAUAAUAGAAUUUGUUUUGAAGUAUACACUGGCAAUAUUGAAAUAUACUCAGUGCAAUAUCUGCAAUUCUAUUGCUGGAUACUUAAUGCAAAGGGAUUUUAAAGAAUUCUUCAACAAAAUACGUGAGGUUGCUAAUCUUCCCCUCCCAUAUACUAAAGCAUUAAUUAAAAAUACAACUGACUCAACAACAUGUUCAGUUUUCCUUACUUAAUCAUUAACAUGACACAAUAAAAAUAUUUGGCCUAGUUUUUAGCAUUACUGGAGAGAAAGAAAUAGCCUGAGUUUUAAACUUUGAUUCAUAUCUAACUAAAUUCAGAAUUCUUAAACUUUCUUUGAAAUGUGUGUAUGUUUUAAGGGAUUGUGGUACUUUUAUUAUAAAUACAAAUUUAUUCAGUCAAAGAACAUAGGUUACCUUUAAUAGUUAAAAUCACUCUAAAUGGGAAUUUUUUUAUAUCUUUUCUUUUUCUAUUCAUUAUUUUCCCUUUCUCUCCCUAUUCUACCCCAAACAUGCCCUUUGCACUUAUACCCUUCCAAAGGCAAUGGAUUGAAAGUAGCAAGAUAAUAAAGAGAGCUAAAGGGAACAACAUAUAAGAAUGGGUUCUAAACUCAUCAGCAUUUUUAUGUCUUGAGAUUAUUAAUAUUGAAUGCAAUAGUUAUUGGAUAUAGCUGGUCAGUUCUCUGCCAUGCAUACUUACAAUAAUCCUUCUACCUCUCACUUUUAACAUGGGCUAUGAUACUUCAAUAUAAAUAGAAUAAAUAACGAUUUACAAGAUAUCCCAGGAAGCACUCUUUUGGGACUAUCAUAACAGUCCACUCCCCACCCCCUGGGAAAUCUCAAAAGCCAACUUUUAGUGUAUUCAAUGGUGUAUGGAUCUGCAUUUGAUUUUCCUUUCUAUCAUUAACUUUUCCUGUAGGCAAAAUACGAUAACUUUAUAAGGAUAGUUCUUCUCAUGGCUAUUUAAUAUUUCAAUGUAAUAUAAUUGCGUUGAUUUUUAAAAAAUAAUUUAAAUGGCAACACUUUGCAAUCCAAUAUGACAUUUCAUUUGAAAUUUAAAAUGCAACAAUCUCUUACAAAUUAAUGCUAUGCUUUUAAGUAAAAAUCAUGUAUAUGAUUUAUUUUCCCAAGAAGCGUUAUCUAUGUAAGACAAUUUAGGUAUUUAAAACUGCCUCCUUAUAUCAAAUAAUCCUGAAUAAUUAAUGUAAAGUAUUGCUACAAAGUAUUUCUCACUUUAUUUUGUCUCACAGACAUAAUAUGAAUUGUUCAAAUGAUGUAAUUUAAUUAUCCUAAAAGGAAAUGACACUUAAACGCAGGUUUUCCUCUAGAAAAGAAAGAUACAAGAAAAUAUCUCAAAUUGUGAUGCUGAAUCUAUAAAACAUGCUUAAAGUUAAAGUAAGAUGUUUCUAUGUUAUGUGGUCAUGUGACAAAUAACCGUUAGUCUAAUCCUUACCACCUUUUCCUAAUAGAUAUAUUAGUUACAAGAAAUGUAUGGUUAUUUUGGAGAGAAUGGGCCCAAAUGUGUAAAAGAUGUAAAGAAAAAACACUAUUUUCCCCUAUGAAAUAUAUUGUAUAUUUCAAAAGAAGAAAACUUAAAAGGUAUUUGAAGAUUGCAGGGGCAAAAGAAAAAGCUACCAGGGCUCAGCACUUAAGCACUUUCCCACACCCAGGGUCAGAGCACAGUGAUUCCUACGCGGACUUUUAAGUGCGGUAUGAAACGCCACGUCACACUUCUCUUACACACAGUACUGUCAAACCUCAAAUGUUUUCUUUCUUUAGAUGCUUUUCCUUGUACAUGAUACUAGUAGACAUUUUUCUCUUUAUAUUUGCUGAUAGUGAAAGUUAUAUGCAAUAAAAUAUUUGAUGGUUGAAAGCAGUGGUCACCAGUUGGUUAAAAAAAAUGAAAUGUAAACUGAAUUGUUAUCUAUCCUUUUUGCUUUUUUCUAUGUUUCUAGUGUAUUGAAUGAUUCUCAUAGGAAGAAAAAUAAUUUAGGAAUUUUUCAACACUAGCUCUCUUUCUUCUUAUAAAUGUAUAAAAUUUUAAUCUCUUUACAAAUUUAUUUCACUGUACCUGCUGUACUUAUUGUAGAUUCAAUGAUGCAGUUAAGUAGAAACCUAAGGAUUUCUGAGUUUGGGAUUGCUGACCUAUUUUCUUCAUAUUCAGUUCACAUCAAUAUUUGUGAAUUGGUUGUUUAGCUUUUCAUUCAACCAAAAAAUAUUUCCUCAAGAAAGCUCCAUUUUUAUCAUAAAUAUUUCAACAUAACCAACAUUGGAACAAGUCUGCCAUGUUAAAAAGAAUUUAAAGACUUAUCUCUGAAAAUGGUACCCAGAAACGCAGGUGUUCCCAAUAAUAUAGCCUCAAAAAUAAAAUGUUCUAUUUGUAUGACAUGAAAUUCAUAACUUUUGGAAGGGUAUAUUUAUGACAGCAUAAAAAUAAAUUCUGUGCUGUAAAGAAGAUCCACAAAAAUCAAACAUAUUGCACAGAAGAUUGAGAAAGACAAUUAUUGAAUCUACUGUUAGCAUUUUCAAAAAAACAAAAUGCAUAUUGUAAUAUUAGGUACAUGACACUUGCAUGUUGAUAUGCCUAUAUACUUACAAAGUAUUCAAUGUGUACUUAGUGGCGCUUAAAAUAUGUCAUGUACAACUCUUAUAAACAUUCUUACAGGGUUCCCAUUUGCACUUCAUCUUUCAGUAAAGUCUUGUCAGAAAAACAAUUGUCUGAUACAUAUGGAAAAAUAAAAUUUGAAUUUUAGUUAUCUGUUGGACAUUACUGAAUCGUCUAUUCAUUUAGUUCAUUUUCCUAUUCUUAAAAACAGACAUUGAAAGAUGGAACUUUCUUUUUUUCCCACUGACAGGUUAUAAAAGAUGUUACAAAAUAUAUUCCUUUAUGCCAAACACAUUUUGCAUAUCUUUUUCAACUGCGUACAUUAUCCAUUCAUUUUCGAUUUCCUCAACGAUGCCCAUUUUCCUUGUAAAUUUCUAAGUGGAAGUUUUAAAAAUUAAGCAGUAGUAAAAAUAAAUGUUAACUUAUUUGUACAACAUUUAAUCGUUACUCUUUGGAAUAUAUGAACCUUGUAAUAUGCUGACUAAGGGUAAAAAAAAUGUUGCUGACUUAGGGAAAUUUGCUUGAAAUUGCCAAAAUUUCAAAACUUGUAAAGGUAAUUUUACAUUGACUUAUGUGUGUUUACUAAUGUUGACUAGGAACAGAAGCAAAAAUACUUAAACCUAUUUUUUUUUUUUAAUUUUCACACUCUAACCAGUAUUAUAUAUUUCAACUACCUA
ensembl:lncRNA